UGGGCUCAAUGUAGAUCGAAUCUUGAGGUAUCAAAUCUUAACAACCCUUGCUUCUAUUCCGGCACUAAAACAAAUUUGGGAUUUGGGAGUAUUAACUCUCUGUCCGAAACUCAUACAAUACUCCAUGAUCGCCAUCUUCAAAAUCUGAGCAUUUCUCUUUGUCAUCUCACUACAAGAAAUCAAGUUAUUAGUGACGGUAUUAGCGAUGGCAAGUAAGUC
rnacentral:lncRNA from 1 species